CGCAACGAGCGCAACCCUUAUCCUUUGUUGCCAGCGGUCCGGCCGGGAACUCAAAGGAGACUGCCAGUGAUAAACUGGAGGAAGGUGGGGAUGACGUCAAGUCAUCAUGGCCCUUACGACCAGGGCUACACACGUGCUACAAUGGCGCAUACAAAGAGAAGCGACCUCGCGAGAGCAAGCGGACCUCAUAAAGUGCGUCGUAGUCCGGAUUGGAGUCUGCAACUCGACUCCAUGAAGUCGGAAUCGCUAGUAAUCGUGGAUCAGAAUGCCACGGUGAAUACGUUCCCGGGCCUUGUACACACCGCCCGUCACACCAUGGGAGUGGGUUGCAAAAGAAGUAGGUAGCUUAACCUUCGGGAGGGCGCUUACCACUUUGUGAUUCAUGACUGGGGUGAAGUCGUAACAAGGUAACCGUAGGGGAACCUGCGGUUGGAUCAC
rnacentral:rRNA from 1 species